AGUAGUUUGAUCAUGGCUCAGAACGAACGCUGGCGGCAGGCCUAACACAUGCAAGUCGAACGCCCUAGCAAUAGGGAGUGGCAGACGGGUGAGUAACACGUGGGAACCUUCCCUAUAGUACGGAAUAGCUCAGGGAAACUUGAAGUAAUACCGUAUACGCCCGAGAGGGGAAAGAUUUAUCGCUAUAGGAUGGGCCCGCGUCGGAUUAGCUAGUUGGUGAGGUAAUGGCUCACCAAGGCGACGAUCCGUAGCUGGUUUGAGAGAACGACCCAGCCACACUGGGACUGAGACACGGCCCAGACUCCUACGGGAGGCAGCAGUGGGGAAUAUUGGACAAUGGGCGCAAGCCUGAUCCAGCCAUGCCGCGUGAGUGAUGAAGGCCUUAGGGUUGUAAAGCUCUUUUAGCAGGGAAGAUAAUGACUGUACCUGCAGAAUAAGCUCCGGCUAACUUCGUG
rnacentral:rRNA from 1 species